GGUUCGAUGGCGUAGUUGGUUAUCGCAUCUGUCUAACAUACUCGCUAUCCUUAAACGGGAAAGUCGCACACAGAAGGUCCCCGGUUCGAGCCCGGGUCGAAUCA